UUUUUGACUACGCCGAUUGGACCGCCGAUGUAUAGGUCAUCGUCGCAGGAAGGAUCGCAAGAGGGGCCGUCGGGGAGCUCUUCUUUUUACCAAACGCCAUCACCGUAUGGGUUUCAAACACCUUCGCUGAUGGCGAUGCAAACACCUCCACAUUCACUAUUAUAUCAAGGUGGCUCAUCGUCUCAACACCGACAACCAGAUCCCCUACCGGAUGAACCAGAAUCCCCGCCAGAGCAACCACAACCCCUGCCGAAAGCUGGACAAAGAAGGAAUCCAGCGCGUAACCGUCGAUGACCGCUAUGUGGCACUGAAUCCAGCGGUCAUGGAGAUUGAUUUUUAUUUUAAAAUAUUUGUACAAUUUAGUUUAUAUUAAUGUAAUAAAAUACAAAAUAGUUUAAUUUGAAUAUUUUGAUAUUAUUUGAUGUAAUAAAAUACAAAAUAGUUUAUUUUGAAUAUUUUGAUAUUAUUUAAUGUAAUAAAAUAAAAAAUAGUUAAUACUCUUAAUAAUAAAAAUUAUUUUAAAUAAUUCAAUAUGUUGAAC
rnacentral:lncRNA from 1 species